UACGUAGGGGGCUAGCGUUGUCCGGAAUCAUUGGGCGUAAAGCGCGCGUAGGCGGCCCGGUAAGUCCGUUGUAAAAGUCGAAGGCUCAACCUUCGAAAGCCGAUGGAUACUGCCGGGCUAGAGUACGGAAGAGGCGAGUAGAAUUCCUGGUGUAGCGGUGGAAUGCGCAGAUAUCAGGAGGAAUACCCAUAGCGAAGGCAGCUCGCUGGGACGUUACUGACGCUGAGGCGCGAAAGCGUGGGGGGCGAACAGG
rnacentral:rRNA from 1 species